CUGGCUCAGGAUGAACGCUGGCGGCGUGCCUAACACAUGCAAGUCGAACGAAGCAUACGGACCGGAGAUUCGUCGAAGGACCGUAUGACUUAGUGGCGGACGGGUGAGUAAUGUAUGAGCAACCUGCCUUUCAGAGGGGGACAACAGUUGGAAACGACUGCUAAUACCGCGUAACGUAUCGUGAGGGCAUCCUCGUGAUACCAAAGGAGCAAUCCGCUGAAAGAUGGGCUCAUAUCUGAUUAGCUUGUUGGCGGGGUAACGGCCCACCAAGGCGACGAUCAGUAGCCGGACUGAGAGGUUGAACGGCCACAUUGGGACUGAGAUACGGCCCAGACUCCUACGGGAGGCAGCAGUGGGGAAUAUUGGGCAAUGGGCGAAAGCCCUGACCCAGCAACGCCGCGUGAAGGAAGAAGGUCUUCGGAUUGUAAACUUCUUUAUGAGGGACGAAGGACGUGACGGUACCUCAUGAAUAAGCCACGGCUAACUACGUGCCAGCCGCCGC
rnacentral:rRNA from 1 species